GGUAAAUUCAGAAAUAAUGUCAAGAAAGACCAGAGUUUUUAAAGAAGGUCUAAAAUAUGUACAGGUGUGAUCAUGAGGUCAGGUCCAGACCCAGGAUGAUGGCAAUGGUCAAAGAAGGAUCUUUUGGAGUCCUGAUUGGCCUGAGGUCCUGGGACCUUCCUUCAGCAGACAGGUGGACCACACUGAGGACCACAGGGGAAGGGAGGGAAAACUGGAUGGGAAGAAA